rnacentral:rRNA from 1 species
CAGCAGUGGGGAAUAUUGCACAAUGGGGGAAACCCUGAUGCAGCAACGCCGCGUGAGUGAUGACGGUCUUCGGAUUGUAAAGCUCUGUCUUCAGGGACGAUAAUGACGGUACCUGAGGAGGAAGCCACGGCUAACUACGUGCCAGCAGCCGCGGUAAUACGUAGGUGGCAAGCGUUGUCCGGAUUUACUGGGCGUAAAGGGAGCGUAGGCGGAUUUUUAAGUGGGAUGUGAAAUACCCGGGCUUAACCUGGGUGCUGCAUUCCAAACUGGAAGUCUAGAGUACAGGAGGGGAAAGCGGAAUUCCUAGUGUAGCGGUGAAAUGCGUAGAGAUUAGGAAGAACACCAGUGGCGAAGGCGGCUUUCUGGACUGUAACUGACGCUGAGGCUCGAAAGCGUGGGGAGCGAACAGGAUUAGA